rnacentral:rRNA from 1 species
AUUGAACGCUGGCGGCAUGCCUUACACAUGCAAGUCGAACGGCAGCAUGAUCUAGCUUGCUAGAUUGAUGGCGAGUGGCGAACGGGUGAGUAAUACAUCGGAACGUGCCCUGUAGUGGGGGAUAACUAGUCGAAAGAUUAGCUAAUACCGCAUACGACCUGAGGGUGAAAGUGGGGGACCGCAAGGCCUCAUGCUAUAGGAGCGGCCGAUGUCUGAUUCGCUCGUUGGUGAGGUAAAGGCUCACCAAGGCGACGAUCAGUAGCUGGUCUGAGAGAACGAUCAGCCACACUGGGACUGAGACACGGCCCAGACUCCUACAGGAGGCAGCAGUGGGGAAUUUGGAACAAUGGGGGCAACCCUGAUCCAGCAAGGCCGCGUGUGUGAAGAAGGCCUUCGGGUUGUAAAGCACUUUUGUCCGGAAAGAAAUCGCACUUACUAAUAUUAGGUGUGGAUGACGGUACCGGAAGAAUAAGGACCGGCUAACUACGUGCCAGCAGCCGCCGUAACAC